rnacentral:rRNA from 1 species
GUAGGUGGCAAGCGUUGUCCGGAAUUAUUGGGCGUAAAGCGCGCGCAGGCGGGGUCCUUUAAGUCUGAUGUGAAAGCCCACGGGCUCAACCGUGGAGGGUCAUUGGAAACUGGGGGACUUGAGUACAGAAGAGGAAAGCGGAAUUCCAAGUGUAGCGGUGAAAUGCGUAGAGAUUUGGAGGAACACCAGUGGCGAAGGCGGCUUUCUGGUCUGUAACUGACGCUGAGGCGCGAAAGCGUGGGGAGCAACCAGGAUUAGAUACCCUGGUAGUCCACGCCGUAAACGAUGAGUGCUAAGUGUUAGGGGGUUUCCGCCCCUUAGUGCUGCAGCUAACGCAUUAAGCACUCCGCCUGGGGAGUACGGCCGCAAAGGCUG